rnacentral:rRNA from 1 species
UACGUAGGGGGCGAGCGUUGUCCGGAUUUAUUGGGCGUAAAGAGCUCGUAGGUGGUUUGGUAAGUCGGAUGUGAAAUCUCCAGGCUCAACCUGGAGGGGUCAUUCGAUACUGCCAUGACUAGAGUUCGGUAGGGGAGUGUGGAAUUCCUGGUGGAGCGGUGAAAUGCGCAGAUAUCAGGAGGAACACCGAUGGCGAAGGCAGGUCUCUGGGCAUUAACUGACACUGAGGAGCGAAAGCAUGGGGAGCGAACAGG